GGUCGUAUAGCUCAGUUGGUAGAGCACAGUGCUAAUAACGCUGCGGUCCUGGGUUCGAGCCCCAGUAUGACCA
rfam:Albugo candida, Ac Nc2, WGS project CAIX01000000 data, contig: AcNc2_CONTIG_449_length_19107